rnacentral:rRNA from 1 species
UACGGGGGGGGCAAGCGUUGUUCGGAAUUACUGGGCGUAAAGGGCGCGUAGGCGGCCUGCUAAGUCGAACGUGAAAUCCCCGGGCUCAACCCGGGAACUGCGUCCGAUACUGGUUGGCUUGAAUUCGGGAGAGGGAUGUGGAAUUCCUGGUGUAGCGGUGAAAUGCGCAGAUAUCAGGAGGAACAUCGGUGGCGAAGGCGGCAUCCUGGACCGAUAUUGACGCUGAGGCGCGAAAGCUAGGGGAGCAAACGGG